GUGGAUGGAGCGGUUGGAGUACGUCGUCUAGUUGUACUGCUGCUUGCGGUGGUGGAUCAAUAUCGUAUAAACGUACUUGCACAAAUCCAUCACCAGCCCACGGUGGAUCUACCUGUUCCGGUUCAUAUAGUAAAUCAGAGUCUUGUAACACACACAGUUGUCCAGUUAAUGGUGGAUGGAGCGGUUGGUCUGUAUCUUCCGGUUGUAAUGCUGCUUGUGGUGGUGGAUCAAUAUCGUAUAAACGUUCAUGCAACAACCCAUCACCAGCCCACGGUGGAGCUGCCUGUUCCGGUUUAGACAGUAAAUCAGAGUCUUGUAACACUCACAGUUGUCCAGUUAAUGGUGGAUGGAGCGGUUGGAGUGCGUCGUCUAGUUGUACUGCUACAUGCGGUGGUGGAUCAAUAUCAUAUAAACGUUUUUGUACCAACCCAUCACCAGCCC